rfam:Brassica oleracea var. oleracea cultivar TO1000 chromosome C3, whole genome shotgun sequence
GAAAUUUAAGAAACCGUCUGUUAAUUUUUAACUAAAAAAGCUAAGAACCGGUUCUUAAAUAAGAUAUUUAAGAGCCGGUUUUUAUUUUAUUUUAGUUAAAAAUUAUGAGACGGUUUCUUAAAUUCC